rnacentral:rRNA from 1 species
UACGUAGGGUGCGAGCGUUGUCCGGAAUUAUUGGGCGUAAAGAGCUCGUAGGCGGUUUGUCGCGUCGGCCGUGAAAACUUGGGGCUUAACCCCAAGCUUGCGGUCGAUACGGGCAGACUUGAGUUCGGCAGGGGAGACUGGAAUUCCUGGUGUAGCGGCGAAAUGCGCAGAUAUCAGGAGGAACACCGGUGGCGAAGGCGGGUCUCUGGGCCGAUACUGACGCUGAGGAGCGAAAGCGUGGGGAGCAAACGGG